rnacentral:misc_RNA from 1 species
UCUCCGUUGGUGAACCAGCGGAGGGAUCAUUAAAGAGUGUAAAAACUCCCAACCCAUGUUUACCUACCUUCCCUGGAGCCUUCGGGCUUCAGGCGUUGCUUCGGUCCUCCUCGGAGGGCCGGAGGUACCAAACUUGAUUUUCAAAAGUAUCUCUGAGGCCUAUUGGCAACUAUAACAACUUUUAACAACGGAUCUCUUGGCUCCAGCAUCGAUGAAGAACGCAGC